rnacentral:tRNA from 1 species
GCGAGAUAGCUCAGUCGGUAGAGCAUCGGAAUCAUAAUCCGCUGGUCGUGGGUUCGAGUCCCUCCCUCGCC